GACGAACGCUGGCGGCGUGCUUAACACAUGCAAGUCGAACGGAAAAGCCCUGCUUGCAGGGUACUCGAGUGGCGAACGGGUGAGUAACACGUGGGUGAUCUGCCCUGCACUUCGGGAUAAGCUUGGGAAACUGGGUCUAAUACCGGAUAGGACCGCACUUUAGUGUGUGUGGUGGAAAGUUUUUUCGGUGUAGGAUGAGCUCGCGGCCUAUCAGCUUGUUGGUGGGGUAAUGGCCUACCAAGGCGGCGACGGGUAGCCGGCCUGAGAGGGUGUACGGCCACAUUGGGACUGAGAUACGGCCCAGACUCCUACGGGAGGCAGCAGUGGGGAAUAUUGCACAAUGGGCGCAAGCCUGAUGCAGCGACGCCGCGUGUGGGAUGAAGGCCUUCGGGUUGUAAACUCCUUUCGCUAGGGACGAAGCUUUUUGUGACGGUACCUAGAUAAGAAGCACCGGCUAACUACGUG
rnacentral:rRNA from 1 species